CAGUCGACGAGACUUUUUAUUUGAUGCUUGCAUCUUUUAAAAAGUUGAGUGGCGAACGGGUGAGUAACACGUGGGUAACCUGCCUUAAAGUGGGGGAUAACACUUGGAAACAGGUGCUAAUACCGCAUAACCAUCAAAACCGCCUGGUUUUGAUGUUAAAGAUGGUUCUGCUAUCGCUUUAAGAUGGACCCGCGGCGUAUUAGCUAGUUGGUGAGGUAAUGGCUUACCAAGGCAAUGAUACGUAGCCGAACUGAGAGGUUGAUCGGCCACAUUGGGACUGAGACACGGCCCAAACUCCUACGGGAGGCAGCAGUAGGGAAUCUUCCACAAUGGACGAAAGUCUGAUGGAGCAACGCCGCGUGAGUGAAGAAGGUUUUCGGAUCGUAAAACUCUGUUGUCAGAGAAGAACGUGUGUGAGAGUAACUGUUCACGCAGUGACGGUAUCUGACCAGAAAGUCACGGCUAACUACGUGCCAGCAGCCGCGGUAAUACGUAGGUGGCAAGCGUUGUCCGGAUUUAUUGGGCGUAAAGGGAACGCAGGCGGUCUUUUAAGUCUGAUGUGAAAGCCUUCGGCUUAACCGAAGUCGGGCAUUGGAAACUGGGAGACUUGAGUGCAGAAGAGGAGAGUGGAACUCCAUGUGUAGCGGUGAAAUGCGUAGAUAUAUGGAAGAACACCAGUGGCGAAAGCGGCUCUCUGGUCUGUAACUGACGCUGAGGUUCGAAAGCGUGGGUAGCAAACAGGAUUAGAUACCCUGGUAGUCCACGCCGUAAACGAUGAAUGCUAAGUGU
rnacentral:rRNA from 1 species